UACUAGAGUAGCACUCGCAUAUCAAUAAGCGGAGGAAAAGAAACUAACAAGGAUUCCCCUAGUAACGGCGAGUGAAGCGGGAAGAGCUCAAAUUUGAAAUCUUAAAGGGUUUCCCUUUACGAAUUGUAGUUUAAAGAAGUGUUUUCUGUUGAGGUUUUGGUAAAAGUUCUUUGGAAUAGGACAUCAUAGAGGGUGAGAAAUAUCCCCGUAUUUGACCUUUACUUUCAACUUUGUGAUACACUUUCAAAGAGUCGGAUUGUUUGGGAAUGCAGUCCAAAAUGGGUGGUAAAUUUCAUCUAAAGCUAAAUAUUGGCGAGAGACCGAUAGCGAACAAGUACCGUGAGGGAAAGAUGAAAAGAACUUUGAAAAGAGAGUUAAACAGUACGUGAAAUUGUCAAAAGGGAAGCGUUUGUACACCAGUGUUGUUUUUCUGAAAAUCAAUUAAAGAACUGUUUAUGCUAAGUUGUUUAGACUUUAUCAGCUAACUGUUUAGUUUUGAGCUUUUCUUUAAUGCACUUUUCAGUUAACAAGUCAACAUCAAUUUCUUUUGCUGUAAAAAAGCUUGAGGAAGGUGGCUUGAGAUUCGUCUUAAGUGUUUAUAGCCUCUUGCCUAUGCAGUCGGAGAGAUUGAGGUCUGCAGCGUAGAUCCUUCGGGGCUAAAUGCAUUUGUGCUAAGUUAUAACAUUUUAUAGACAACUUGUUGACUAUGAUUUGUCUUGUAGCUUACUCGCUUAUGUUAUUUUACCUACGCUUAGGAUGUUGAUAUCGCGCUCUCACUG
rnacentral:rRNA from 1 species